ACAUUUCAUAUUUACAUUAAAAGAAAUCUCCUCAGAUAAUAUUAAAACAAGAACAAAAUAAACUCUGCUAGUCGACAAAAAUAGAACUCUGAUAGCAAUCCCUCUCCUCUUUUCUUAUUGGUUGAAACCAAGAUGGGGUGGAUAGCAAUUAUACACCACUGAUUACAAAAAAUCAAUGGUUCAGAUUUAUUCAGAUUGUGUUUCUAUAACUCACAUCUCUCCCCUGUCCCACUACGAUCUUUCUGUAUCUCACUAUCUCUCUCGCACAAUCUUCAUUCUUGUACAGAAUGAACAACAAAUUAAUCAAUACAGACUGAGAGAAUAAGAAGAAGCAAUCUCACUAUCUCUCGCACAAUUCUUCGUUCAAUAUGUGUUGAUGAAGAUGGUGAAGCGUGACGGCAGAGAAAGGUUAGAAGAUAGACGGAGAGAAGAAGAAUCUCAGACGACGAUGUUCACACCGGAAGAGGCUCAGACGACGGCGGAUCUGAGUGAAACAGCAUGAAGAAGAAGGAGGAGCUUCCGGGUGGAGACGGCAGAGGAAGAAGAUGUCACGAAGAAGCAGAGAUGGAGAGUGAGCUUUAGUGUGGCACUGUGGCUCCUCAACUCGCGGCGUGGAAUGUGGAGGAGAGGGAGCACCGGUUUGGAAGGAGGACUGGAAGAUCCGGUGUAUGGCUCCUCAACUCCGCCUUUGUCUUAGGAGGCAAGCCGUCGUCUCCGUCUCCGGCAAAUAGAUAUAUGUAUAAUAUUUAUAUGUAUUUAUGUAAAUAAGAUUUUAUAUUAUUUGUAUUUGUAUUUUAUAAAUAAUUAAUGCAAUUUUUAUU
rnacentral:lncRNA from 1 species